GCCUGGGUGGCUCAGUCGGUUGAGUGUCCGACUUCGGCUCAGGUCAUGAUCUCGUGGUCCGUGAGUUCGAGCCCCACGUCAGGCU
rnacentral:tRNA from 1 species